UCCCUGGUGGCUCAGUGGUAAAGAAUCUGCCUGCAGUGCACGAGACCCAGGUUCGAUCCCUGGUCGGGAAG
rnacentral:tRNA from 1 species